UACGAAGGUGGCAAGCGUUGUUCGGAUUUACUGGGCGUACAGGGCGCGUAGGCGGUUGGGUAAGCCCUCCGUGAAAUCUCCGGGCCUAACCCGGAAAGGGCGGAGGGGACUGCUCGGCUAGAGGAUGGGAGAGGAGCGCGGAAUUCCCGGUGUAGCGGUGAAAUGCGUAGAUAUCUGGAGGAACACCGGUGGCGAAGGCGGCAUCCUGGACCGACACUGACGCUGAGGCGCGAAAGCCAGGGGAGCAAACGGG
rnacentral:rRNA from 1 species